UGGCGACCGGCGCACGGGUGAGUAACACGUAUCCAACCUGCCGAUAACUCGGGGAUAGCCUUUCGAAAGAAAGAUUAAUAUCCGAUAGGAUAUCAAGGUCGCAUGAUCUUGAUAUUAAAGAAUUUCGGUUAUCGAUGGGGAUGCGUUCCAUUAGUUAGUUGGCGGGGUAACGGCCCACCAAGACGACGAUGGAUAGGGGUUCUGAGAGGAAGGUCCCCCACAUUGGAACUGAGACACGGACCAGACUCCUACGGAAGGCAGCAG
rnacentral:rRNA from 1 species